GCAGUCGAACGAUGAAGCCUUUCGGGGUGGAUUAGUGGCGAACGGGUGAGUAACACGUGGGCAAUCUGCCCUUCACUCUGGGACAAGCCCUGGAAACGGGGUCUAAUACCGGAUAACACUCUGUCCCGCAUGGGACGGGGUUAAAAGCUCCGGCGGUGAAGGAUGAGCCCGCGGCCUAUCAGCUUGUUGGUGGGGUAAUGGCCUACCAAGGCGACAACAGGUAGCCGGCCUGAGAGGGCGACCGGCCACACUGGGACUGAGACACGGCCCAGACUCCUACGGGAGGCAGCAGUGGGGAAUAUUGCACAAUGGGCGAAAGCCUGAUGCAGCGACGCCGCGUGAGGGAUGACGGCCUUCGGGUUGUAAACCUCUUUCAGCAGGGAAGAAGCGAAAGUGACGGUACCUGCAGAAGAAGCGCCGGCUAACUACGUGCCAGCAGCCGCGGUAAUACGUAGGGCGCAAGCGUUGUCCGGAAUUAUUGGGCGUAAAGAGCUCGUAGGCGGCUUGUCACGUCGGAUGUGAAAGCCCGGGGCUUAACCCCGGGUCUGCAUUCGAUACGGGCUAGCUAGAGUGUGGUAGGGGAGAUCGGAAUUCCUGGUGUAGCGGUGAAAUGCGCAGAUAUCAGGAGGAACACCGGUGGCGAAGGCGGAUCUCUGGGCCAUUACUGACGCUGAGGAGCGAAAGCGUGGGGAGCGA
rnacentral:rRNA from 1 species